UAGAUUCCAUUGAAAAAAAUGAUAGCAACAUUUUAUAAAAACAACAUAAAAGUUAUCGCACUACAAUUGGGAAUUCAUGUUCGAACGCUAAGCUAUUCUUCAAACAAACUAUUCUAGCUCAGCAAUAAGCAAUCACCAACUUAAUGAACUCUAAGCAAAAGCUUAAAACUCCGAUCAAAUAACAUAUACUUAUAUUUAUGAGAUUUUUUCUAAAAGCAUAGGCAUUAU
rnacentral:lncRNA from 1 species